GACGGUACCNGAAGAAGAAGCUGCGGCUAAYUACGUGCCAGCAGCCGCGGUAAUACGNAGGCAGCUAGCGUUGUUCGGAAUUACUGGGCGUAAAGAGUGUGUAGGCGGUGCUCUAAGUUCGGUGUGAAAUCUCCUGGCUUACCUGGGAGGGUGCUCCGGAAACUGGAGUGCUGGAUCGUGGGAGAGGAAAGCGGAAUUCCUGGUGUAGCGGUGAAAUGCGUAGAUAUCAGGAGGAACACCUGUGGUGUAGACGGCUUUCUGGACCAUAGUUGACGCUGAGACACGAAAGCGUGGGUACCAACCAGGAUUAGAAUACCCCUGGUAGUCCACGCCCUAAACGAUGCAUACUUGGUGUCGGCCAUUCAGUUGGUCNGUGCCGGAGCUAACGCGUAAAGUAUGCCGCCUGG
rnacentral:rRNA from 1 species